GCAUGGGAAAGACAGAUGGGGGGCUAAUGAAAAGGACGCCGAGAGGCGCGGGGCUGUCGGUGGCGGAGGCGUGGUGGGGAGCCGUGACCUCCAGGAGUGAGCGCACCAGACUGCCGGGUGGGGGCGUCCGCCGCGACGUCGGAAGGUAGAAGGCGCCGGGGAGAGGGCCGGGAGGGGGCGUGCAGUUUGGCCCGAGGGUCCGGAGCUGAAACUCAACACCCGCCUUUGGAGAGAGCGUCCUCUUUUCUCCUCCUCCCUUUCCCUUCUCCUCCCUUUUCCCCCUCCCUCCUUUCUCUUAAUCCCCAGGACUGAGCCCGGCGCCGGAGCGGAGAGGGCCCGAGGGGAGGAGAAAGGAACUUCCGUGAGAGGGAACCGGGAGCCGGGAAGGGGAGCCACGAGCGGGGUGAGCCCCAAAGCCACGCGCGACCCCCGGAGCCUUCUUAGCCUCUCAGUGCACCACCACCUCCAGGCGAGUCCACAGGACCCUGGGCCCUGCUCCUCCGCGCCUUCUUUGCUCCUCUUGCUUUGUGGCCUUUCUCUCCGUUCCCAGAGACACCUGGGAGCUGCCCCGAGCUCUGCUAAGGGCGCGUGAGAGCGGGGCGGCGAGGUCGGAGAGCAGCGGGCCAGGGAGGGAUUGGGAGCUAGUAACCCAGCGCGCUGGGGCCGAGUGGAGGGGGCGGGUGGGCCGCUCCGCGGCGUCAGCAAGGCCGUCCCGCCCCUUCGAACCGGGCCCGCGUGCGCGUUGUAAGGCACCGUCCUGGUAACCCCUGCCUCCUGGGCGUGCUGCGAGCCAGUGUGCCUGACUGUGAGUCCGCUUCACCGUCGGGGGUGCUAGUUUCCGGGCAGAAAGCAGCCACUUGGGCAACUCGGCCCAACGUCCACGCUCUCGGUGGCCUUUGCCAACUUGGGCGAGUUUGACGAGAGUCGAACGUCUCAGUUCUCGCUCUCACGCACCACCCUCCCUCGCAGCAGGGCAGCCGCAGUGCCUCAGGCCGCCCCGACCACAGCCCUGGGAGCACCGCUGUGCCGCGCGGCCCCCGGGUGGAGCGGGUUGGUGCCUAAACUCGCCCAUCCAGCUCAACCGCCCCGCCGGCUUCUCCCAGCCCUUGGGGCUGUCCUGAGAGGCCUGGAGUGGCGUCGAGUACAACUCCAGCUUCCACCUCCUCCCCUGCCUCGGCCCUGGAAGGGAGCUUUCGGCCCAUGCGGAGCCGGUGUACCUUCGCGGCCUAGGGUAGGCAGCUCCCGGGCCUGGCCAAGCCGGCGGCCCCCAGGACUGCACAGAGCGCACGCCCUUGGAUGAAGUCCCGCAGCGACGCCUCGGCCCGCCCUGCCCCUCCUCCUGCCCCGCCAAGCUGCCUCCCAUUUGGGGAGUUUUGUGGGUUUUCUUUCUCCUCCUCCAACCUACGCGGAGACCACGACUCAGGCGCCGCAGCUAGGGCCGCCCCCAUGGUGCCGGGCAGCCGCUGCUGAGGUCCACAAAGCCGAGCCUGGCCUGGAUUGGGCAGCGCGGGAGGCCAAGGCCAUGGCCUUAGCCACGUCGGCCCUAGGAUUCCCAGGCAACAUGAGGCUGCCUCCCGCAUUCUGGCCCCCCUUUGAAUGAUUACUCUAGGAAGGAGGAUUGUGAGGCUGGAAAAAGAAGCAUGACUCCUACAUCCUUCCAUACCCCUCGAGGACGAGUUUGAUUUUCACUCCUCAGACCAAACCCCUUCUAGGGCCUCAAUCUGUAUGGCCCAGCUGGCCCGGGCACUCUACGACAACACAGCUGAGUCCCCCCAGGAGCUGUCCUUCCGCCGAGGGGACGUUCUACGGAUACUGCAGAGGGAGGGCACUGGUGGGCUGGAUGGCUGGUGCCUCUGCUCCCUGCAUGGCCAGCAGGGCAUUGUGCCCGCCAACAGAGUGAAGCUCCUUCCUCCUGGCCCAGCACCCAAGCCCAGCCUCUCCCAGAUGCCCCCAGCCCAGCCUGGCUCAUCAUAUCCAGCCCCAGAGCACAGCAGUGAGGAUCAUGAGGUGUAUGUGGUGCCGCCCCGAGCUCAGCCAUGUCCUGCCUUAGGACCAACAGCUGGACCCUGCCCACCCUCCCCAGACGCCAUCUAUAAGGUUCCCAGAGGCAGUGGGACUCAGCUGCCUGCCCCUGGAGACGCCUUGGAGGUCUAUGAUGUGCCCUCCACUGCCCUCCGAGUUCCCUCCAGUGAUCCUUAUGACUCCCCUGCCUCCCUUUCCUGCCCUCUGGGCCGGGUUACCUCACAGCCCGCUGGAGAGGAGGAAGCUCCCUAUGAUGUGCCUCUGGCCCCACGAUCACCAUCAGAACUGGAGCCAGAUUUGGAGUGGGAAGAGGGCCGGGAAGCAGGGCCUCCCCUCUACACUGCUCCGUCCAACUUGAAACGGGCGUCAGCCCUGCUCAAUCUGUAUGAAGCACCUGAGGAGCUGCUACCACAUGAGGAAGGUGGGGGCACUGACGAGGGCAUCUAUGACGUGCCUCUGCUGGGGCCAGAAGCACCCCCCUCUCCAGACCCCCGAGGAGCUUCGGCCUGCAGUGACCUGGACACCUUGGCCUUGCUUCUGGCUAGAAGCCCCCCAGCCCCACACAGGCCCCGGUUGCCCUCAGCUGAGAGCCUAUCCCGACGCCCUCUGCCUGCCCUACCUGUCCCCGAGGGCCCCAGCCUUUCCCCAGCUCCCUCUCCUGCUCCAGGCCGGAAAGGCAGCAUCCAGGAUCGGCCUCUGCCCCCACCCCCGCCCUGUCUGCCUGGCUACAGAGGCCCCAAGGUGGAGGGGGAUACAGAGGGUGGGGAGGUGGAGGAUGAUCCAGCUGGACACCACAAUGAGUAUGAGGGCAUCCCCGUGGCUGAGGAGUAUGACUAUGUCCACCUGAAGGGCAUGGACAGAGCUCAGGGAUCUAGGCCACUGGAUGAGGCCUUCCCAGGGAACCCUGAACAGCCGGAGAAAGGGCCGCAGGAGCAGCAGGAGGCCCUGUCCCCAGGGGAGCUGCCCACUGUGUCUUCUGGAGAUCUGCAGCUCCUGCACUUCUACGCAGGGCAGUGUCAGAACCACUACUCAGCCCUGCAGGCAGCUGUGGCAGCCCUGCUGUCCAGCACCCAGGCCAACCAGCCCCCACACCUCUUUGUGCCCCACAGCAAGCGGGUAGUGGUGGCUGCUCACCACCUGGUGUUUGUUGGGGACACCCUGGGCCGGCUGGCAGCCUCUGCCCCUCUUCGAGCACAGGUCGGGGCUGCUGGCACAGCACUGGGCCAGGCACUGCGGGCCACUGUGCUGGCGGUCAAGGGGGCUGCGCUGGGCUACCCAUCCAGCCCUGCAGCCCAGGAGAUGGCGCAGUGUGUGGCACAGCUGGCAGGGCAGGCCCUGCAAUUCACCACCCUGCUCACCAGCCUGGCCCCCUGAGAGUCCCUUGGCACUGCUCUGCCCCUCCCCUUGCUGCUGGAGCCCCUUCCGGCUCCAGGGGUGGCUGGAGGGCUCUGUGGUAGGGAAUAGGAGAGGUGCAGGUAUCCUCUCCUCCAGUCAUCUCAGUGUCCUACAGAGGCAUCUCCUCUCCCAACCCCACAGCUUUUUGUACGAGCCAUUUUGUAUAAAUUAUUUAUAUUUAAUAUUAUUCCCUGCCUUGUCAGGGGCAGGUGCCAGGCCCUCUGGGGCAGGAAGGAACUGGACUCUCCUCCCUCAACCUGGGCUGGAGGUUCUUGGUUGCUGCACUGCCAGCCACCUCUGGAAGCUUGGCCCCAGAGAAUUAGGUGGCUGAAACAAGGGGCCACCCAGAGCCCCUUUCUUGUGCUUUUCUUGGCUCUAGAAUAUCAGCACCUCACUGGUGGCCAAGAGUGAGGACAGGAUAUUGGCCAUCCAGAAUGUGAAGGUCUGGAAGAGGCUAGAGGGCUCCUCUCCGCAGGAGGCAGGAGAGAGGCUUCCUGCUGACCGUCUGGACACACCGUCUUUUAGAGGAGCUGAGGGGCAGAUGAAGGCCAUGUGUCGGAAGUCUACAGUCCUCAGGGCCUAGGUGGGAGAUCACUCCAGCUAUUUACCACAAGGGAAGAAGUCCAAGCCACAGAUCCAUUUCUUCAGGUCUGCUUCUCCAAGAUGAUGCUCUGGCACAGUGACUGACUGGAAGCACCCCAGACUUCAGUCAGAGUCUUAGUCUCUUGGUGCCCACUAUGCAUAUGCCUCCUCUAUUUGGGGUUCCUUCAUUAUCCUUUCACUAAGAGAAAACUCAUUUCCAGAUUCUGGGGCCACCAAAAUUCACCCCUACAUGCUGAAGACUUAAAAUGGACCAUUCUCCAUCAUCCUCCAGGAAGAAUUUCAAGAGAUCAACCUGUAAUUAGAGUCAGAGGUCUCAGUGCAAGUCCCAGAUCUGCCAUAUACCUGUCUGUGGGUAAAUCCUGCCAGUCCGUCUGAGUCCUGGUGUCAUCUGUAUUGUGAGGACGAUCAUAAUGGUCAUGUUGUGAGGCCCCAACAAGACAGUCAUGUGAACAAUCCAGCACCACAUCAAGUUAAGGGAUUUUAAUUCCAGGACAGACACAAGGACACAGACAAAAAUCCCCGAGAAAUACUGGCUGUGGCAGUACCAAAGUAAAUCCUGAAGAAAUGCUGAAAUAGGUAGGGGAGGCUGUUAAAUGGACUGGAGAGUUUCCCAUGUUUGGAAAAUUUCUGAACAGGGAAUGGAUUUCCGGUCUAAGGCUCAGGAUACUCCUUUCUAUCCCUUACCUGAAAUUAGAGAAUAAAGUACCUGUUAGGCAUCAACUCUAAA